rnacentral:rRNA from 1 species
CUGGCGGCGUGCCUAACACAUGCAAGUCGAGCGAUGAAAUCCUUCGGGAUGGAUUAGCGGCGGACGGGUGAGUAACACGUGGGUAACCUGCCUUGUAGAGGGGGAUAGCCUUCCGAAAGGAAGAUUAAUACCGCAUAACAUCUUUUUAUCGCAUGGUAGAAAGAUCAAAGGAGUAAUCCGCUACAAGAUGGACCCGCGGCGCAUUAGCUAGUUGGUGAGGUAACGGCUCACCAAGGCGACGAUGCGUAGCCGACCUGAGAGGGUGAUCGGCCACAUUGGAACUGAGACACGGUCCAGACUCCUACGGGAGGCAGCAGUGGGGAAUAUUGCGCAAUAGGGGGGAAACCCUGACGCAGCAACGCCGCGUGAAUGAAGAAGGCCUUAGGGUUGUAAAGUUCUGUUUACGGGGACGAUAAUGACGGUACCCGUGGAGGAAGCCACGGCUAACUACGUGCCAGCCGCCGC